AACGAACGCUGGCGGCAUGCCUAACACAUGCAAGUCGAACGAGACCUUCGGGUCUAGUGGCGCACGGGUGCGUAACGCGUGGGAACCUGCCCUUAGGUUCGGAAUAACUCCCGGAAAGGGGUGCUAAUACCGGAUAAUGUCUUCGGACCAAAGAUUUAUAGCCUUUGGAUGGGCCCGCGUUGGUUUAGCUAGUGGGUAGCGUAAAAGCCUACCAAGGCGACGAUCCAUAGCUGGUCUGAGAGGAUGAGCAGCCACACUGGGACUGAGACACGGCCGAGACUCCUACGGGAGGGAGCAGUGGGGAAUAUUGGACAGUGGGCGGAAGCCUGAUCCAGCAAUGCCGCGUGAGUGAUGAAGGCCUUAGGGUUGUAAAGCUCGUUUACCCGGGAUGAUAAUGACAGUACCGGGAGAAUAAGCACCGGCUAACUCCGUG
rnacentral:rRNA from 1 species